AUUGAACGCUGGCGGCAGGCCUAACACAUGCAAGUCGAGCGGAGGAAGGGAGCUUGCUCCUGGAUUCAGCGGCGGACGGGUGAGUAAUGCCUAGGAAUCUGCCUGGUAGUGGGGGAUAACGUCCGGAAACGGGCGCUAAUACCGCAUACGUCCUGAGGGAGAAAGUGGGGGAUCUUCGGACCUCACGCUAUCAGAUGAGCCUAGGUCGGAUUAGCUAGUUGGUGGGGUAAAGGCCUACCAAGGCGACGAUCCGUAACUGGUCUGAGAGGAUGAUCAGUCACAAUGGAACUGGGAAACGGUCCAGACUCCUAAGGGAGGCAGCAGUGGGGAAUAUUGGACAAUGGGCGAAAGCCUGAUCCAGCCAUGCCGCGUGUGUGAAGAAGGUCUUCGGAUUGUAAAGCACUUUAAGUUGGGAGGAAGGGCAGUAAGUUAAUACCUUGCUGUUUUGACGUUACCAACAGAAUAAGCACCGGCUAACUUCGUG
rnacentral:rRNA from 1 species